GCCGUGGGGUGCAGGCAGCGCCACCUCGCCCAGGGUCCGUGGGGCGGGGGUAGGAUGUCCUCCCCAGCUUUUGUUUCAGGUCUCAGAUGCCAUUGUAGUCCCUCAACCACCCGCCGGGCCGGAGCUGUUCCCCCUGCGCAGGGAGCAGGCUGUCCCCGCCUCGAUGCCUGCUGAUGCCGGUUGUUGUGGAGAGUGGACGUUCCUGAGGAUUUAAGCCCGGGACGACACCUGUCAGAUGGCUCUGAGGGACUGCUCCAAAGUGGCGGGGCGGAGGCCGGGAUGUAGGCACGUUCACAGUGAAGACCAGGUGGUCGGAGCCUCGAAAGAUGGCUGUUAAUUGAAGAAAGCCAGACCCCUCGAGUUAAGAACUGAGCACUUUUCUAUGUACGGGAAGGCGCAGAGGUCUGGGCUCACAGAAGUCAUUCCCUGAUCCGCACCUCCGCUCUCCAGGGCCAGUGUCCUGUGCGUUCCCAUCCUGAGUCCCCUCAGGGGGCACCGCUGGGGGCGGCAGCAGAGGCCCGGCUGCCUGCUUGCCGCAUCCUGAGUGCCCUCCGCCCUCUGCUGGGUGCGGGCCGUGGCUGAUGACCUGGUGGCUGCAGCGCCCUCUGUUUGCUGAUACAGCUGGCAAUGUUUUCAUUCACCGCACCCUGAGAAUCGUGAGACCUGCAUGGGGGCAGACCUGGACGGGACCCCAGAUGCCCCCUCGGUUUAGCAGAAAGGAAACUGGUGGGGGACCUUCCCUCAGCCACACAUGGACUCUGGCGGAUCAGAGGUUCCCUGACAAUUUUAUUGAGACAUCACUUCCUGUGACUUCUGGGCUGCUUCCCCAGCCUGAGUGGAAUUCCCUGAGAUUAAAUCUGUCCCAAAGCCGGAUCCCUCCAUACGGGAGAAUUCCAUCUCCAAACGCCAACACGCACAUGCUGUGUCCUCACUCCUUGUGACACCAGCUCCCCGUGGGGGCUGCAGAGUCCUGACCCCGCACCCCCACACCAGUCAAAACAGACCUCUGCCUGAGUUCCCAAGGAAUGGAUGCUCACAGAUGCCAGCAUGUGGUGAUUCCUGGGCGGGGAUGACACAGCAGACGGGACAUGGAUGCCCUGAAGCUGAGGUCAUCCCUCUGUCCCACACCCCGUCCAGAGCUCUGGCUCUUAAGGGGGACGAUGGCAGCUGGAGACGUGUGCAGAGUAGGGUGACGGGUCAGGCAGAUGGGCACUGAACCGUGCCCCACAGGAAAGGGUGAAGAGACCGACGUGGUUCAGCCUGGGCGUGAGACACCUGGGGACGUGGGGUGGCUCGUCCUGGGGAAGAGGGAUUGGCCCUGCUCUCCACAGCCCCGGGGAGAGGCCGGGGAAGGACUGUGGAGCCCGGAGCUGGAGCCCGCUCAGGGAUGGCCUAGCAGUCAGGGCAGCUUCGAGUCAUCUUCCCCGAGGGGCCUGGGGCUGGGGCUGGGGCUGCUGCUUGGCCAACUGGACCUUCAAGGGUCAGAAGUGGGUGGGAGGCCUGGGAGGGUUUAAGAUCAUUUCUGAGAGUCUGCGGCUCUAGACCCCGAGUCACCCUCAGCCCCAGUUAUGUGCACGCUCUAUGCCAGCCACAUGCUGGGUUGAGAGAGGACACAGAAUGCUUGUCCUGGUCCUGCCCCAGGGAGCUUCUUAUCCUUGGAGGGAGGGAGGCGCGUGCACAGACAGUCCAAACCACGUGUGGCUCGGGCUGGCCGGGAGGACAGGAUGGGGCGGCACCGAGGUCGGAGCGCUGCUGUGAGCGCUCCCCUGAGCGAGCAGCGGGCGGACACAGGGCCCUGGUCUUCCAGCAAAGAUCCAGGCCCGCGCCCCAGCCCCCCGCACUCCUGCAGCCCAUCCCAGCCCACAGCUCCCUCCCACCCUCUGCACCCCCCACCAGAGAGGCCCCUGCCCCGCCUGGGAGUUAGUGCAGCCACAGCCGGCCCCUGGGCCCACCGGCUGAGGGCUGCCGGCUCUGCAGUGUGGACCCCUCCCCGCUCUCCUCCUCACCUGGCUGAGGUCCGAGGCUCACCUGCUCACCCCGCCGCGUGGAGCCUGACUCUGCGCCCCUCCUGCCUCCCUGCCCUGCUGGCAGGGCCCCUGCUUAAACGCUCUCCACCUGCACCUGUGUGGGAGCAA